AACCUGUUCCCCCCAGGUCUUAUAAAGCACAGCCUGUUCCCCCCAGGUCUUAUAAAGCACAGCCUGUUCCCCCAGGUUUUUUAAAGCACAGCCUUUUCCCCCUAGGUCUUCGAAAGCCCAACCUGUUCCCCCCAGGUCUUAUAAAGCACAACCUGUUCCCCCCAGGUCUUAUAAAGCAUUGCCUGUUCCCCCCAGGUUUUUUAAAGCACAGCCUGUCCCCCCCAGGUGUUAGAAAGCCCAACCUGUUCCCCCCAGGUGUUAGAAAGCCCAACCUGUUCCCCCCAGGUCUUAGAAAGCCCAAACUGUUCCCCCCAGGUCUUAGAAAGCCCAAUCUGUUCCCCCCAGGUCUUAUAGAGCACAGUAUGUUCCUCCCCAGGCCUUAUUAUCAUUUGUGAUGUCACCAGAGGGGGGAAAGGGGUGGGCAUAGCUAGUGGCCUGUGACUGGCUAAAUUUCAAUCUGUGGCCAGUCACAAGCCACCAGCGGUUCCCCUCUAAUGACAUCACAAACAGCCUCUCAGAAUGAGCAAAUCGCAUUUGUAACAUUAAUAAAAGCUUCUGACAAUAUUAAGCAUAUUAACUUAUACAUCCUGUCCAAUAAUGAAUGCCAUUUGAAUAGUCAGAUCAAGACAUAGGGGUCAUUUACAAUGCAAAAUAAAAGUAUCUUGUGUGUCCUGCAUUGUGUUUGGCAUUGGAUCCCUGUCCAUAACGCCUGCCCCUGCAUUACCAUCACCAGCCUUUCCAUUAUAUGCCAUCAGAGACAUUGCAUUUCCCUAGGCAGGACGGUAAGUGAGAAAAGGGCACUAAUGAUUAUACACUAUUUUUGGAAAUUUUUGAUGAAUGCAUAUACAUUUCCUAUCUUGAAUUGUAUCCAGCCUAUGACUUAAAAGAUUUGCUUUAAAAGUAUAUGUCCUUAUUAAGAGGCACAAGGAAAGGAAGUCCAUACCCUGUAGAGUUAUUCUAGUUAUCUGUGUCUGCUACCUGCUCUGGUCCAUUUACUGGACUUUGUCUACUAUAUGAUCUAGUACAGGGGGUACUUGUUAUGAUAUGUAAAAUAUAUGCAUAAAUAAUGUCAUGGGAGUGGUGUGAUCUGCCCUGUCUCAACCCUUCUGAGCCUCAGGGAAGAAGUGUCAGGUAUUCAUCGCCUACUAGGUAGAACUGUUUUGCAGCUAAACAUGAAUAGGAAAUGAAGAGGAUGCCCAAAAAGAUCCUGGAAGACCCAAAAGAAGAUGGUGGAGCACCUAGCAGAACAAUACAGUUGUUUAACUAAUGGAUAAGGCCUUCUAGGCUUUAACAUAUAGUGGCUUGUCUGGAUAAAACUUGUUCCUGGAAGAGACCUUCUGUAUAUUGACAAAAAUGUACCCAAAUAUCAGCAGCACUUGGAAUUCUCCCAUAUAAAGAGAUGAAAGAUGAAGUAUAAUAACAGACACUAUGUAGACUAUGUGUUAUUUGAAAAUAAUGACUUUUAAUCUGAAUGUUCUAAGACUGCAAUAUUUUUCAUUAAUAAAGAUCACCUUUUUUCUGCUA